rnacentral:lncRNA from 1 species
ACACACGUACAUCCAACAUUAUUUCAUAUUCAAAUCAAGAAAACUCCAUAUCAAAUUCAAAUCAUCCAUCGCAUCACAUCAGGUUUACAUAACAAAUCAUCUCAGGAAUACAUUUCCUUACACAGGAAUAUAGAAGGAACAGAGGGAAUAUGCAAUAAGACAAUUAUGGCACAUCCUACAACUUGCCAUCCUACAACAAGAAUUAUAUAACAGGAAGAACUUGCUCUCUCUCGUGAGACUUGCUCCAGCUGCGACAACUUGCCAUCCUACAACAAGAAGUAUAUAACAAUGAACUUCAAGAACAUUACAGGAGCUAAACGCCCAAUCAACGUGAAGUGCUAAAAAAUGCCUUAGCUAGCAUGCAUUCAAAAUUUAGACACUUGACAUAGCCUCAUCAAGCAUGCAAUAAAUUAUAGAAAGUAAACGAGGACCAGACUUUACAAUUACAGACACAUCCAUCAAUCCAUGAGGCAAAAUCAUGUGAAUCCAAAAGGAGAGGCAGGAAGGGAUACCAAUUUUGAUCCAGAGGGUACAUGAGUGUGGCCUUCUUCCGGAAGAGGUUGGCCCUAACGCACCUUGUAUGAGGCGCUGGGAGCUCAUAGAUUGUCCUGGUCAAUGAGCAGGUCCUUGCAUCCGGUCAUACUGCUAGCCUGGGGAACAGGAAAAAUGAAAGGAACAAUUUAGACUUGGUAUUAACGAACAAAGACUGUAAUCAAUAGCAGAUUAAGCACCAAUUUUCUUGGAUGCAAGGAGAAGAACGAGCAAAACAACACAGAGAUGUGGGACAAUGUUGUACCUGUAGAUGAUGUUCGCAGCCAAGGAAGACAUGGGGCCAGCCUUAAAUGUGCGCGUGCUUCACCGGUGCAUGCAUCACCAUAGCAGCCAAGCAAGUAGACAUCAUCGACAUCUACUCACCGCUUUCCUGGCAAUGGAGAAAGAGUCAAACAAAAAAGUAUUAGACCAUGAUAUGACACCAGACCAUAGAUUAGUAGCUUUAAAUCACAAAGUAUAUCCACAACACCAUAAAAUAGUCCCAAACCCGUGUUAUUUGAGUAUAUCACAUGUAGUUUAUUUUCAUGAGUCC